GUUGCCAGCCCGCUACAGAAACUCAAAUGAAGUUGACGGGGGCCCGCACAAGCGGAGGAGCAUGUGGUUUAAUUCGAUGAUACGCGAGGAACCUUACCUGGGCUCGAACGUAAGAUGACUGUAGGUGAAAGCUUACAUCGUCUUCGGAGCAUUUUACGAGGUGCUGCAUGGUUGUCGUCAGCUCGUGCCGUGAGGUGUCGGGUUAAGUCCCAUAACGAGCGCAACCCCUACCUUUAGUUGCCAUCAGGUUAAGCUGGGGACUCUAAAGGAACUGCCUACGCAAGUAGUGAGGAAGGCGGGGAUGACGUCAAAUCAGCACGGCCCUUACGUCCAGGGCUACACACGUGCUACAAUGGCCGAUACAGAGGGCAGCUACCUGGUGACAGGAUGCAAAUCUCCAAAGUCGGUCUCAGUUCGGAUCGGAGUCUGCAACCCGACUCCGUGAAGUUGGAAUCGCUAGUAAUCGCGCAUCAGCCAUGGCGCGGUGAAUACGUUCCCGGGCCUU
rnacentral:rRNA from 1 species